CCUUACCGAAAUUUGAAUUAUUUUAUUCCAGCGUUUUAGAAAAAUCGAUUCUUUUGGUACAUUUCCUGGCGGAUGAUGUUUAGCGUAGCAAGUAAUGCAGAAGCCUGCAACUCCGCCGGGUCCGGGUUCGAAUCCCGGCGAAUAAGAAUCCCGUGGAUGGCCCAGUUCUCCUGUAUCGAUACCGGGAUACUCUCUCAAGUGCCUCCUGCUUUGCCAUAAACUUACCAACGGCUGACCACGUCGGACCACUCGAGAUUCAAUUACCAUAGCUCCGAAAUCGAGUUUCGGGUAAACGAAUGCACCCUCACGCACCCCAAACAGGCGUACGCAAAUACGGUUGGCGAGGCAAUACGUUCGCCGGCAGACGCGGCCUGUACAAAUGGGAUUUCCCGCGGUGGCACGGUUGCUCGUUGUGUGGAAAGAAACGCGUAGAAGGGAAAUCGACGAUGGCGCGAGGGAUAGUAAUGAACGAACACCCUCACGUUUCGCUGUUCGGAGUAGAGGCUGAAAAUUUCGAUUCGCGAUGAGCGUUUUCUCUUCUUCGAGAAUCCAAAGCCCUUGGAAUUUAAUCCUAAGACGACUAUUUGUAUCGCUUUGUUUACUUGGGUCUAACGUGAACACCAUUGGGUAGUUAAAGACGCCUGAGGUUUAAACAGAAACUUUUGACACCAGGAGAAGGAGCGACGAAGUUAUUUAUACAAAAUAAUGUACACAGAAAUAUACCAUAAAAAAGAAAAGAAAGAAGAGUAUUGAAAGCGACCGCGACCGGCGAGAGCUGGGAGAACGCGGGGGCCGACAAAGGGCCGAUCGAAUUCUAUAAACAAAAGGUGGUGAUUCCAACAGACGCCACCAUAGCGACAAGGCAGUCUGCAGCAAUCUGGUUCAGUUUUGUUUCGGAUCCCCGAACGUUACGACGCGUACGGUUUAUUCAAAGAUCGUUGAAGACUGGUGUAAAUUAUUUUAGCUGGGAAGUAUGCAGAUCCACAUAUGAGAAGGAAAAUAAGAAAAACAAUUUGAGCUACAGGUUGCAAAAAAACGUAAAUGGACAGACACGCAGAUACGUUAUAGCCUUGCGUAAGCAAUGCUGACCGUAAUAUAUGGAAAUCUUAUAAAUCACCCCCACGAAGAUACAUGAAAAGAGGAUGAAAGAAACAGCC